rnacentral:rRNA from 1 species
UUUUCCGGUUGAUCCCGCCGGACCUUACUGCUAUCGGGUUGAGACUAAGCCAUGCAAGUCGAGCGUUUUCAAGCUAUGUUGAAAGCGCGGCACAAGGCUCCGUAACACGUAGUUAACCUACCCUCAGGAUGGAGAUAACCCCUGGGAAACUGGGACUAAUAUCCAAUAAAUGAUUAUGCCUGGAAUGGUUUAUCAUUGAAAGAGCUGAAUACAUGCUUUCAGUAUCACCUGAGGAUGGGACUGCGUCCGAUCAGGUUGUUGGCGGGGUAACGGCCCACCAAGCCUAUAACCGGUACGGGCCCUGAGAGGGGGAGCCCGGAGAUGGAAACUGAGACAAGGUUCCAGGCCCUACGGGGCGCAGCAGGCGCGAAACCUCCACAAUGCGCGAAAGCGUGAUGGGGUUAGCCCGAGUGCUGUCCGAAAAGGAUGGCUUUUCCUUGGUGUAAAAACCCAGGGGAAUAAAGGGGGGGCAAGACUGGUGUCAGCCGCCGCGGUAAUACUAGCCCCCUGAGUGGUAAGGACGAUUAUUUGGCUUAAAGCGUCCGUAGCCGGCUUAGUGAGUCUCUUGUUAAAUCCAAUGAUUCAAUCAUUGAACUGCAAGAGGUACUACUAUGCUAGAGGACGGGAGAGGUCGACGGUAGUCCAAGGGUAGGGGUGAAAUCCUAUAAUCCUUGGAGGACCACCAGUGGCGAAGGCGGUCGACUAGAACGUGCCUGACGGUGAGGGACGAAAGCUGGGGGAGCGAACCGGAUUAGAUACCCGGGUAGUCCCAGCUGUAAACGAUGCGGGCUAGGUGUAGGGGCAGCUACGAGCUGCUCCUGUGCCGCAGAGAAAUUGUUAAGCCCGCCGCCUGGGGAGUACGAUCGCAAGAUUGAAACUUAAAGGAAUUGGCGGGGGAGCACCACAAGGGGUGAAGGCUGCGGUUUAAUUGGAGUCAACGCCGGAAAUCACUAGU